rnacentral:rRNA from 1 species
ACUGACAGCCAUGGUUACCGCGGCUGCUGGCACGGAGUUAGCCGGUGCUUCUUCUGUGAGUGAUGUCCUUCCUGCCGGUUAUUGACCCGCAGGCCUUCUUCCUCACUGAAAGUGCUUUACAACCCGAAGGCCUUCUUCACACACGCGGCAUGGCUGGAUCAGGGUUGCCCCCAUUGUCCAAUAUUCCCCACUGCUGCCUCCCGUAGGAGUCUGGGCCGUGUCUCAGUCCCAGUGUGGCUGAUCAUCCUCUCAGACCAGCUACGGAUCGUCGCCUUGGUGAGCCGUUACCUCACCAACCAGCUAAUCCGACAUAGGCUCAUCCGAUAGCGCGAGGCCCGAAGGUCCCCCGCUUUCCCCCGUAGGGCGUAUGCGGUAUUAGCCUGGGUUCCCCCAGGUUAUCCCCCACUACCGGGCAGAUUCCUAUGCAUUACUCACCCGUCCGCCGCUCGCCACCAGGGAGCAAGCUCCCCGUGCUGCCGCUCG